UGCGUAGGCGGUUAGAUAAGUCAGAGGUGAAAGCCCACAGCUCAACUGUGGAAUUGCCUUUGAUACUGUUUAACUUGAAUCAGGUUGAGGUUGGCGGAAUGUGACAUGUAGCGGUGAAAUGCAUAGAUAUGUCAUAGAACACCAAUUGCGAAGGCAGCUAACUAGACCUGUAUUGACGCUGAGGCACGAAAGCGUGGGGAGCGAACAGGAUUAGAUACCCUGGUAGUCC
rnacentral:rRNA from 1 species